rnacentral:rRNA from 1 species
CCAGCCCGCUCAGAAACUUAAAGGAAUUGAGGGGGCCCGCACAAGCGGUGGAGCAUGUGGUUUAAUUCGAUGAUACGCGAGGAACCUUACCUGGGCUCAAAUGUAUGUUGACGUAUUCUGAAAGGGAUACUUCUUCGGACAAUAUACAAGGUGCUGCAUGGUUGUCGUCAGCUCGUGCCGUGAGGUGUCGGGUUAAGUCCCAUAACGAGCGCAACCCCUACCUUUAGUUGCCAUCAGGUUAAGCUGGGGACUCUAAAGGAACUGCCUACGCAAGUAGUGAGGAAGGCGGGGAUGACGUCAAAUCAGCACGGCCCUUACGUCCAGGGCUACACACGUGCUACAAUGGCCGAUACAGAGGGCAGCUACCUGGUGACAGGAUGCAAAUCUCCAAAGUCGGUCUCAGUUCGGAUCGGAGUCUGCAACCCGACUCCGUGAAGUUGGAUUCGCUAGUAAUCGCGCAUCAGCCAUGGCGCGGUGAAUACGUUCCCGGGCCUU